GACAGAGGGUGCAAACGUUGUUCGGAAUUACUGGGCGUAAAGCGCGUGUAGGCGGCAAGGCAAGUCGGGUGUGAAAGCCCUGGGCUCAACCCGGGAAGUGCAUUCGAUACUGCUAAGCUAGAGUUCCGGAGAGGAUGGUGGAACUCUCGGUGUAGAGGUGAAAUUCGUAGAUAUCGAGAAGAACACCGGUGGCGAAGGCGGCCAUCUGGACGGUGACUGACGCUGAGACGCGAAAGCGUGGGGAGCAAACAGG
rnacentral:rRNA from 1 species